UAUGGAUAAGUAAAAUCUUUAAAUAAUUUUAAAUAAAGUUCGAUAACCCAUUAUUCAAGUUUGACAUGAUCAAUCUUUGCUUGGGGAGUGAUUUGAAUCUCAAGUAAGUGUUCUUUCUUGGAGAUAUUUGAUCAAUAAGGUAAUCUGAAUUAUACUUGCUAUCGUUCCAACACCUCAAAGUGACUUCCCACCCCUCGGCCAUGCUCUGAACGUGGAGACGGAGAAAAACGGGAGGGAGGGUGGGAGGGAGUAUUAACAAUGCGACAAAGGUGAAGAGGAAGGAUAAUCGACGAAGGAUUGAAGGAAAAUGGCAAGACACCGACGUCAGAGACAGUUUUAGAAAGAGAGAGAAAGCCAUCGAAGAUUAUCGUUCGAACCGGGUAAGGAAGACAAAGUCCGUGGACUUCGGGUCGAACAAGGAUCCGUUAAUCCAGUACUCGCUUCAGCCCAAACCACCAACCCGCAGUCUAAAUGCUCACGGCACAAACCACACCAGCCUACAACACAGAACCAAACCAAGACCCGCAUCAAGUCCAGUACCGCGCCUGCAGCCCGAUUGCCACCCAAGUUCUCGAGGCCCAAACUAUUGGCCUAGAACCCAGAUCAGCCCAAUCACACAGUCGACCCAACCAAACGGCUGAAGUCCACAACCCGCGCCUCGACUCAAAGUCGCCUGCACAUGCAUCGACCCUGAUUGUGCCAUAUGGCACACUUGCAGCGUGACACCCCUUCGACUCAGUCUGCUCGACUCUACUUCACGGCUUAGAAUUGGCCCCUCUUGACUCGAUAAAGAAAAAUCGGCCAUUUUUAUUGUUUUGUCCGUUUCGAAGUUGAAUUUGACCUUGUUUAAGGCAA